rfam:Camelus ferus unplaced genomic scaffold scaffold602, whole genome shotgun sequence.
GGAGGGCACAGCUCAGUGGAAGAGCACAUGUUUAGCAUACACAGGGUCCUGGGUUCAAUCCCCAGUCCUUCCA